UACGGGGGGGGCAAGCGUUGUUCGGAAUUACUGGGCGUAAAGGGUGCGUAGGUGGCCUUAUAAGUCAGUGGUGAAAGCCUGCAGCUUAACUGUAGGACUGCCAUUGAUACUGUAGGGCUUGAGUACUGAUGAGGUAGGCGGAAUUGAUAGUGUAGCGGUGAAAUGCAUAGAUAUUAUCAAGAACACCGAUUGCGAAGGCAGCUUACUAAGGAGUUACUGACACUGAGGCACGAAAGCGUGGGGAUCAAACAGG
rnacentral:rRNA from 1 species